GAUGAACGCUGGCGGCGUGCCUAAUACAUGCAAGUCGAGCGAACAGACGAGGAGCUUGCUCCUCUGACGUUAGCGGCGGACGGGUGAGUAACACGUGGAUAACCUACCUAUAAGACUGGGAUAACUUCGGGAAACCGGAGCUAAUACCGGAUAAUAUAUUGAACCGCAUGGUUCAAUAGUGAAUGACGGUUUUGCUGUCACUUAUAGAUGUAUCCGCGCCGCAUUAGCUAGUUGGUAAGGUAACGGCUUACCAAGGCAACGAUGCGUAGCCGACCUGAGAGGGUGAUCGGCCACACUGGAACUGAGACACGGUCCAGACUCCUACGGGAGGCAGCAGUAGGGAAUCUUCCGCAAUGGGCGAAAGCCUGACGGAGCAACGCCGCGUGAGUGAUGAAGGUCUUCGGAUCGUAAAACUCUGUUAUUAGGGAAGAACAAAUGUGUAAGUAACUAUGCACGUCUUGACGGUACCUAAUCAGAAAGCCACGGCUAACUACGUG
rnacentral:rRNA from 1 species